UCUGGUGACUGAGGACCGCCAGGCAGGGGCUGGUGCUGGGCGGGGGGCGGCGGG
rnacentral:miRNA from 1 species